UACAUUCCAAGAACAGGUAUUAUUGUAGUGGAUUUGUGACGGUG
rnacentral:snRNA from 1 species